rnacentral:rRNA from 1 species
UAUAAUGGGUCAGCGACUUAUAUUCUGUAGCAAGGUUAACCGUAUAGGGGAGCCGGAGGGAAACCGAGUCUUAAUUGGGCGUUAAGUUGCAGGGUAUAGACCCGAAACCCGGUGAUCUAGCCAUGGGCAGGUUGAAGGUUGGGUAACACUAACUGGAGGACCGAACCGACUAAUGUUGAAAAAUUAGCGGAUGACCUGUGGCUGGGGGUGAAAGGCCAAUCAAACCGGGAGAUAGCUGGUUCUCCCCGAAAGCUAUUUAGGUAGCGCCUCGUGAAUUCAUCUCCGGGGGUAGAGCACUGUUUCGGCUAGGGGGCCAUCCCGGCUUACCAACCCGAUGCAAACUGCGAAUACCGGAGAAUGUUAUCACGGGAGACACACGGCGGGUGCUAACGUCCGUCGUGAAGAGGGAAACAACCCAGACCGCCAGCUAAGGUCCCAAAGUCAUGGUUAAGUGGGAAACGAUGUGGGAAGGCCCAGACAGCCAGGAUGUUGGCUUAGAAGCAGCCAUCAUUUAAAGAAAGCGUAAUAGCUCACUGGUCGAGUCGGCCUGCGCGGAAGAUGUAACGGGGCUAAACCAUGCACCGAAGCUGCGGCAGCGACGCUUAUGCGUUGUUGGGUAGGGGAGCG